GGAAUGUUGGCUGGCUCGAAG
rnacentral:miRNA from 1 species